UACGUAGGGUGCAAGCGUUGUCCGGAAUUAUUGGGCGUAAAGAGCUCGUGGGCGGUCUGUCGCGUCGGCUGUGAAAACUCGGGGCUCAACUCCGAGCUUGCAGUCGAUACGGGCAGGCUAGAGUUCGGCAGGGGAGACUGGAAUUCCUGGUGUAGCGGUGAAAUGCGCAGAUAUCAGGAGGAACACCGGUGGCGAAGGCGGGUCUCUGGGCCGAUACUGACGCUGAGGAGCGAAAGCGUGGGGAGCGAACAGG
rnacentral:rRNA from 1 species